UGAUGAACUUAUAAUCGAAUU
ensembl:piRNA 21ur-6061 ncRNA